rnacentral:rRNA from 1 species
GUUGAACGCUGGCGGCAUGCUUUACACAUGCAAGUCGAACGGUAACAGGCCGCAAGGUGCUGACGAGUGGCGAACGGGUGAGUAAUGCAUCGGAACGUGCCCAGUCGUGGGGGAUAACGCAGCGAAAGCUGUGCUAAUACCGCAUACGAUCUAUGGAUGAAAGCGGGGGACCGUAAGGCCUCGCGCGAUUGGAGCGGCCGAUGUCAGAUUAGGUAGUUGGUGGGGUAAAGGCUCACCAAGCCAACGAUCUGUAGCUGGUCUGAGAGGACGACCAGCCACACUGGGACUGAGACACGGCCCAGACUCCUACGGGAGGCAGCAGUGGGGAAUUUUGGACAAUGGGCGAAAGCCUGAUCCAGCAGUGCCGCGUGCAGGAUGAAGGCCUUCGGGUUGUAAACUGCUUUUGUACGGAGCGAAAAGGUUUCCUCUAAUACAGGGGGCUGAUGACGGUACCGUAAGAAUAAGCACCGGCUAACUACGUGCCAGCCGCCGCCGUAA